rnacentral:rRNA from 1 species
AGCUUGCUACCUGAUCUAGCGGCGGACGGGUGAGUAAUGCUUAGGAAUCUGCCUAUUAGUGGGGGACAACAUUCCGAAAGGAAUGCUAAUACCGCAUACGCCCUACGGGGGAAAGCAGGGGAUCUUCGGACCUUGCGCUAAUAGAUGAGCCUAAGUCAGAUUAGCUAGUUGGUGGGGUAAAGGCCUACCAAGGCGACGAUCUGUAGCGGGUCUGAGAGGAUGAUCCGCCACACUGGGACUGAGACACGGCCCAGACUCCUACGGGAGGCAGCAGUGGGGAAUAUUGGACAAUGGGCGAAAGCCUGAUCCAGCCAUGCCGCGUGUGUGAAGAAGGCCUUUUGGUUGUAAAGCACUUUAAGCGAGGAGGAGGCUACUUGGAUUAAUACUCUAGGAUAGUGGACGUUACUCGCAGAAUAAGCACCGGCUAACUCUGUGCCAGCAGCCGCGGUAAUACAGAGGGUGCGAGCGUUAAUCGGAUUUACUGGGCGUAAAGCGUGCGUAGGCGGCUUUUUAAGUCGGAUGUGAAAUCCCUGAGCUUAACUUAGGAAUUGCAUUCGAUACUGGGAAGCUAGAGUAUGGGAGAGGAUGGUAGAAUUCCAGGUGUAGCGGUGAAAUGCGUAGAGAUCUGGAGGAAUACCGAUGGCGAAGGCAGCCAUCUGGCCUAAUACUGACGCUGAGGUACGAAAGCAUGGGGAGCAAACAGGAUUAGAUACCCUGGUAGUCCAUGCCGUAAACGAUGUCUACUAGCCGUUGGGGCCUUUGAGGCUUUAGUGGCGCAGCUAACGCGAUAAGUAGACCGCCUGGGGAGUACGGUCGCAAGACUAAAACUCAAAUGAAUUGACGGGGGCCCGCACAAGCGGUGGAGCAUGUGGUUUAAUUCGAUGCAACGCGAAGAACCUUACCUGGUCUUGACAUAGUAAGAACUUUCCAGAGAUGGAUUGGUGCCUUCGGGAACUUACAUACAGGUGCUGCAUGGCUGUCGUCAGCUCGUGUCGUGAGAUGUUGGGUUAAGUCCCGCAACGAGCGCAACCCUUUUCCUUAUUUGCCAGCGGGUUAAGCCGGGAACUUUAAGGAUACUGCCAGUGACAAACUGGAGGAAGGCGGGGACGACGUCAAGUCAUCAUGGCCCUUACGACCAGGGCUACACACGUGCUACAAUGGUCGGUACAAAGGGUUGCUACCUAGCGAUAGGAUGCUAAUCUCAAAAAGCCGAUCGUAGUCCGGAUUGGAGUCUGCAACUCGACUCCAUGAAGUCG